UUCACCAUGGAACUCACC
rnacentral:misc_RNA from 1 species